UACGGGGGGGGCAAGCGUUGUUCGGAAUUACUGGGCGUAAAGGGCGCGUAGGCGGCCUUCUAAGUCGGACGUGAAAUCCCUCGGCUUAACCGAGGAACUGCGUCUGAUACUGGAUGGCUUGAAUCCGGGAGAGGGAUGCAGAAUUCCAGGUGUAGCGGUGAAAUGCGUAGAUAUCUGGAGGAAUACCGGUGGCGAAGGCGGCAUCCUGGGCCGGCAUUGACGCUGAGGAGCGAAAGCUAGGGGAGCAAACGGG
rnacentral:rRNA from 1 species